AAAUCCGAGGGACCAAACGCGCAAAAAGCCCAUUCACCGCAAACACGCGGAUCCUGUGGACUGCUGGGUAGGGUCGCGGGUCAGAAGUCCAAAACGACGCCGUUUGGCCUCUGAACCCAACCCCCAAAAUGGCGCCGUUUUCCCUUUAUUAUUUAAACCCAAAAAGUUCUUUUUUCUUCCAUUUUCAGCCCCUUUUACCCAAAAAAACUGAAACUAAAAGCCCUAAGCCUCCAUUUUCUCUCCUUUCCCCUCAACUUCUCCGAUCGGAGGACCACGCCGCCACCAAGGUCGACGGGCAGUGGUGCAAGACUGGGUUUUAACCCCUUUUGCGGUGUCCUUGAGAGCCAAGUUCUCUCAACCCACGAGAAGCGAAACGAAAGGGAGACCGUCAACGCCUUUAGACCCAAAUCGGGCAACGGAGGAGAGACCCACUGGCGGCGCGGUCAUGGCCAAACUCCGGUGGAGUAGACGCGGAUGGAGUAGGUGGCGUGGUAGGGUGGCCGACAUGACAGUGGGCAGGUGAGCGUCAUGGCAGAGGUCUGAAGGCUGCGGCGUUAGGGUUUUAGAAUAGCUGAAACCCUAGUUUGACCUUUGACAUUUGGUCUUGGGUCUGUUGGGCUAUCUUAGGCUUGUUGGGCUUCGGGUUAUUGGGCCUUUUGUAAUAUAUUUUCUUUUUGCCUGGGCAAAAUUGGGCUGUACAAUACAUAUUAGAUGUUUAUAUAAAAGGACAUUUCUAUUAGUCAUUUUUACUAUUCUGUUUAGAGUGCUGAGAGAUUUAUUAUAUAUUAGAGUCAUGUAAAAGGCUUAAGAAGAAUGUUCUAUACGCUUGAAAGCUAUCAUAUUUUACUUAUUUUAUUUUA